AGCAGCCGCGGUAAUUCCAGCUCCAAUAGCGUAUAUUAAAGUUGUUGCAGUUAAAAGCUCGUAGUUGAAUUUCGGGAUCAAUAUAUCGGUCGUGCCAUUGGUACGUACUGGUAUCAUUGGUUUCUCCUUUCUGACGAACCAUGAUGUCAUUAAUUUGGUGUUAUGGGAAGUUAGGACUGUUACUUUGAAAAAUUAGAGUGUUUAAAGCAGGCUUUAGCUUGAAUACAUUAGCAUGGAAUAAUGAAAUAGGACGUUCGAACCUAUUUGUUGGUUCUAGGAUCAACGUAAUGAUUAAUAGGGAUAGUUGGGGCAUUAGUAUUCAAUUGUCAGAGGUUGAAAUUCUUGGGAUUUUUAUUGAAGACUAACUACUGCGAAAGCAUUUUGCCAAGGAU
rnacentral:rRNA from 1 species